CACGUGAGUAGCUGUCCUAGGGAGGGGGAUAACGCCUGGAAACGGGUGCUAAAGCCCCAUAAGCCUCGCAAGAGGUGAAAGUGUACUUGUUACAGCCUUAGGGUGUGCUCGCGGCCUAUCAGCUAGUUGGUGAGGUAAGGGCUCACCAAGGCUAAGACGGGUAGCCGGCCUGAGAGGGUGUACGGCCACACUGGAAUUGAGAUACGGUCCAGACUCCUACGGGAGGCAGCAGUGGGGAAUUUUGGGCAAUGGGCGAAAGCCUGACCCAGCGACGCCGCGUUGGGGAUGAAGUCCUUCGGGGCGUAAACCCAUGUUGUAGGGGAAGAAGAAAGUGACGGUACCCUACGAGAAAGCCCCGGCCAACUACGUG
rnacentral:rRNA from 1 species